CCUGCACCUGGGCAUUUCCUGCCCCGGCCUCACGCUCAGAGCUCAGCCCAGGUCCUUGGGGUUUCCUGUUUUGCUCUCAGAGCUUUCAUUUCACCCACAAAUCACUUCCCCUUCUGAGGCUCCUUGUGGCUGAUCCCCUCCAUUUCUGCUCCAGGCCUGGAGCCUCUUCCUUGCCCCUUCCUGGCUCCUUGUGUGCAGCCAGCCAGGAUUAUCCCUGUCAUUCCUCCAACGGGACCUCCUCAGCAGCUGGAAUUCAAACCAGGCUUUCCCUGGCACCAGCAGAUGCUGCCACUGCAAAUCCAGCCCUGCUAAAUCUCCAGCUGCCUUGGCCAAAACAUCAUGAAUAUUCAUGAGGCCAGCCUGGACUUUGAGCUUUGACUUGGAGAAGGUUUACAAGUGGACUUCCAGCAGCUUGGAGGAGAAGAAAAACCUUCCUCAGGUGCUUGUGGAAGCUGACCCAGCACUGUCCCCUUCGUGAACAUCCCCUCGGGUGCCCUGGAAGGCAAUUAAUGAGUGAAUUAAUGAAUUAACAGCCUUGUCACACUUGGAGCCCUCUGA
rnacentral:lncRNA from 1 species